CACUCGUUACUUCUCCCUGCCCCCUCCUUUCCCACUCCCCCUCUCUCUCUCUCUCUCUCUCUCUCUUGCUCUCUCCAUUAUUUCGAUCCUUCUUUCUUGUAGCUUCGAUUGGGUCCUCCCAUGGCGGCUCCGGCUUACGAAGGCAGGAUCGGGGGCAAGAUCCGGCGGCGGCAGCCGAGGGCCGCGGCGGCGACGCCGUACGAUCGGCCUCCGGUGGCGACGCGCGAUACCAGGGUCGUCCCCGACGGCGCCGGCGCCGGCGCAGGUAGCGGGUGGCUCUCUAAGCUCGUCGACCCCGCCUCGCGCCUCAUCGCCGGUGGCGCCUCCAGGAUCUUCUCCUCCGUCUUCCGGAAGCGGCUCCCUCCGCCUACGAACCACCCAGAGGGAAAGCUUGAAUCCAGAGAACUUCCUGAAGUUACUUGCAUUAAUCCAUCAACUGAAAUAUUGGAUGCUGGUACUGUUUCAACAAAAAGUCCUCUUGACAAGGGUGUAUUUGAACAUACGGAUCCAACAAAAUGUCCUGAUGACAAGGGUAUAUCUGAACUAGAACGACUACUGAAGCAGAAGACAUUCACAAAGGCUGAGUUUGAUCAAUUGAAAGAAUUGCUGCUUUCAAGAACUGUUGAACCUAAUUUGUCAAAGCCAGCUAUUAAUAACGAGAAAAAUUGUGAAAUAGAUGUGCCCGCAAGAGAAAAGGGAGUGGGAACCUCUAGAACAGACGAGAAUUUGCCAAAUGCUGCCGGGCAUGUAACUAUUCCUGAGGAUGAAAUUGCUUCACCUGCAGAGCUUGCAAAAGCAUAUAUGAGUUCUAGGUCUUCAAAUGUAUUCCAUUCGGCACUAAGAUUGCAGAGCCGAGUCCAUCUGAAGGACAAGGGAAUGCCAAGUAGUGCAGUUCAUGCAACGAAACCAUCUGGACUGUUGUUCGCUUCAAGCUCUACAGUCCAGUUUUCUAGACUACCCGAGAGUGGCUAUGUGACUCCGAGACCUCGAGGGAGAUCAGCAAUAUAUAAAAUGGCGCAAUCUCCACAUUUUAAGGGUAUAGGAUCUUCUGAGGAGGUUUCCCCAUUCUCCUUGACAUCUUAUCACACCCCAACAGCCAACAUGUAUUCCGGUCGCAGGCAGGUCUUGAAACGAAUAAGUUCUGUCUUGGAUAGCGAAAUUGGUUCCAUUAGUUCCAUACGCAGGAUAAGACAUAAGUCUAACAUGUUAUCUCCUUCAAGGGAAUCGCGCCCUAGCCAUCAUGGAAAUCUUCUUAUUAGCACAAGCACAAGUGACGAGGAUGUUAUCCAAUGUUCUGCAUCACUUCCAAAGCCUUUUGGCCUGGAUAAUCUGAAUUAUAGUACAAUGAAAGGAAAGAACAAGGAAUAUGAAGAUGAAGUAUAUAACGAUAGUGUUACUCCUAUUGCUCCUCAGUCGACUAAGAUGGCCAUGAAAAUACUGAACCAACUCGAUAAACUAAUGCCUUCACCAAAGGAUAAACAAUCUGAAACAGAGUGCAUUACCAGAGACAAAUCACCAUUCAAGGUAGGACAAGCUAGUAAUUGGGAAGUUACUACCAAUAGCUCUCCUGUCACAAGAAAUGCUCUAUCUCAAAAGCAAGUCAUAGAAGAGGAUCUUGCGAAACCUUCUACAUCAGGAGUUAAAUUACCAUAUGGAAGCAAUAGCAUCAAGGAGAUUGUUAAAUCUGUCUCAACUACCACAUCUGGCAAGUCUGCUUUUGAUGUCUUUUCAGACUCUGUUCCUGUUCCUCUACGAGAGAAGCAAGGAUUUCGGAUGAUUGCACCUGAGGAUUUUGUGGAGCUUGACAAGGCUGAGAAUCGUGAAAGAGAUGGUGAUAGACCUCUGAUAUCUUCUUUGGAAAGUGGGCCUUCAUCUAGCUUCAAUGUUUCCAGUAAUACAGAUAAAAUGGCAGCAAUACCUCCCUUUUCUAAUAAUAGUACUGGCUUUACAUUCUCUUUUGGACCAGCUAAUAGCACUCCGCCACCUCAAUUAGGUACAGUACCUUUGCCUGAUACAUCACCUACAAAGAAGGAACAAACUCGUGCUCAUGCUCCCACAUUUACCUUUGGCUGCAAGGAAUCUCAUACACCUAUGUUGUCAACGGCAACUGCUCUAGUAAAAGAUAUUGUGAGUGGUGCAGAACCAACAAAUGAUCCAUCAAAAUCAUCAAAUACUGCCGUCUCGUCAGGAAUAUCAACAAUUGAUCAUUCAAAAUCAUCUGAAAAUGCUAUUUCUUCAGGAGUAUUGACAUCAAACAACCCUCCUGUUUUUGCUUUUGGUGCUUCUGCCACUCCAAACUUAAGCAAUGGUUCCUUGCAUUCAUCAUCAAACUUAACUGUGUCUUUAUUCCCUGUUGGGUCACCUAAUCCGGAACCUCCCAAGUUGGUUUUCUCCGCCAGCACAAUGACCUCUACCACUCCCACCAGUCUGUCAGCCUCUCUUGCAGCUCCCUUAUUUUCUGCAAAUCCCUCGUUUCAUUUUGGCUCUAGUACUUCUAUGGCUUCUCAAACAGCUACUUCACCACUAGCCUUUGCUGUAGAUGCUGGCUCAACUCUGGGUGCAUCUGCACCCUCAAACAGUGGCAGCACUGUAUUAUCAAGCUUGGAAAAUGGUUCUUCCUCGACAGCACCAUCUAUUAUUUCAAGUGCUCCAGCUGUGUCAACUCUCUUUACAAGCACAUCCAGCUCUCAAUCUGCUAUUGCACCAUCAUUCACCUUUUCAAGUACAGAAAACAGCAUUUUCGGUUACAGUGCUCCUGCACAAUCUACUGGCUCAAGUUCUUUUGCUAAUAAUAGUUCUCAAACAGCUUUUGCUUUAAUGACUCAGCCAGCUCAAUCCGGAAGUGGAGUUCUACAGUUACCACAAAUCUCAGCAAGUCAAUUUUCUGCCCCAUUGGGCUCAGCAUCCACAGCAUCUGGGCUUCUUAACUCCGGCUUUAGCUUUUCUUCCUCACUUGCUCCUGCUUCUUCCAGCUCUGGCACCAACUCUUCCUCUGCACCAAAUAUGAGCACAAAUUUGUUCAGCUCGAUUUCAAUGCCAUCCGCACCAGCCAUUUUCAACACUAAUUCCAGUUCUAUCGCACCCUCAGCUACUGGGUUCACAUUCACACCAUCAACUGCUUCAAGCAGUUCACCUUUUUCAUCCAACUCAUCCUUACCUACAGUCUUUCCAUUCACUUCAGCUAGCAGUACGAUCCCUUUGCUUCCUUCAAGUUCAGGAUCUCCUGCAAGUGAUCAGAUGAAUGUAGAGGACAGGAUGGCUGAUGAUAGCCCUAAGCAGGAUGCAGUUUCUGUGUUUGGCCAACCGGGUGUUUCACCUGCUCCUCUGGCAUUUGAUACUCCCACUACCUCCUCUGUUGGAUUGCCCGUCUUUCAAUUCAGCAGUCAGCAGAGUUCAGUUGCCCAGAACCCAUUGCCAUUUCAAGAUGCGGGUGGUCUAGGGGUUUCUCCGGGAGGGAGCAGCUUCUCCUUGGGAACCGGAGGUGGCGAUAAGUCAGGUCGGAGAAUCAUCAAAGUUAGACGAGAUAAAUUGAGGAAAAGAUAAGGUUUAUGUACCGUGCAAACGACACACGGACACCCAAACAGUAGUGAGCUAGCAAUCUCUUCAUGCAGAUUUAUUUAUUAAUGUAUUCUUAUGAUAAAAUUUGAGUGGAAAGAGCCUUCGAUUUAUUGCGACGUGUUUUAAAUGUCAUGUAUUAAUUCUAUCUUCAUCAAACAUAUCGUUGAAUAUUUUUUAAUCUUAAAAUUUAAAUUUAUUUUAAAAAAAUCUGGAGAAAAAAAUUAAAAUUUUUGGAUAGAAAUUAAAAAUGAGCCUGGGAUUUUGUCGGGUCGGUUGGGUUGUGUGGGGUGCGUAAUAAAUUCAGCAGCAGCAGCAGCAGCAGCAGCAGCAGAGGAGACGAUAUGACGUUUGGGAUUCCCCCCAGCAGGAGGAAUAGCGGUUCGUUGGUGCAGCUCGAGACUCCUAUUAACAGGGGAAUUCAAGAAGAACUUCGAUCUUUACGUCGCAGCGGGAUGUUGGGAGUUAUGGAAAGAACGCAACAGAAGACUUUUCGACAACAAGUCACAACGAAGCGAAAUACUGGCAAGAGCAAUCAACGACACGAUCAAGCAAUGGGUCUCUGCGUUAGGGUGCUAAGUUAGCCCGCUACUAUCUUUAACUCGGAUGAGUGUUUUCUCUAUAGCUUACUAGUAUACUACCUAUUGUACUUCUCUGUCCUCCCUCUUCUGACCCAUGUACUCCUGAUCUCUUGUUGAAAUAGGGUAUAUCCCUGUUUAAUCAAAAAAAAAAAAAAAUUUGCUACAUGAAUGUUUGGGAUAAUCUGUUAGUCUGGUUAAUUUUAAGAGGUCAUGAAUUAAUUUUUUGCUUCUUUGUUUUCAAUUUCUCUUUUUACCAGGUUCGUUGCAGGAACCUAUGCGUAAACUCCAAAAAGUUUUUUUUUUUUAAAAAAAGAAACUUUGGACUAUGCGAUCUCACGGCAUUUACCUGACCUGAACACUAAAUGCUGCAGAUCCAAGCUGGCAACUGUCCUGAGAUUAAAGACGCAAAACACUACACAUACUUUAUCGGCUGCCGUGUACGUACUCACCCACCUAUGAAUGCAAGAUUAGGAGGCAGAAAAAAUCACUGGUAACUGUAAUUUACUAAUUCUCACGUCUUUUGAUGAUUUUUUUUUUCAAAGACAGAUGCAUCAUCUGCUGUCAGAGAUAAGAAAAUCACACAAUAAAUAGCAUCUCUUAUCAGUAUGCA